GUCCGCAUCCCUUAGGGGACAACGCCGC
rnacentral:sRNA from 1 species